rnacentral:rRNA from 1 species
AUACGGAGGGUGCAAGCGUUGUCCGGAUUUAUUGGGUUUAAAGGGUGCGUAGGUGGUUUUUUAAGUCAGUGGUGAAAGCCUACAGCUUAACUGUAGAGGUGCCAUUGAAACUGGGGAACUUGAGUAUGGACGAGGUAGGCGGAAUUUGUGGUGUAGCGGUGAAAUGCAUAGAUACCACAAAGAACACCGAUAGCGAAGGCAGCUUACUAGGCCAUAACUGACACUGAGGCACGAAAGUGUGCGGAGCGAACAGGAUUAGAUACCCUAGUAGUCC